AUACGGAGGAUCCGAGCGUUAUCCGGAUUUAUUGGGUUUAAAGGGUGCGCAGGCGGCCACUUAAGUCAGCGGUUAAAUCGUGGGGCUCAACCCCAUUCUGCCGUUGAUACUGGGUGGCUUGAUUGCGGUCGAGGUUGGCGGAAUUCGUUGUGUAGCGGUGAAAUGCAUAGAUAUGACGAAGAACACCGAUUGCGUAGGCAGCUGACCAGACCGCAAAUGACGCUCAUGCACGAAAGUGCGGGGAUCGAACAGGAUUAGAUACCCUGGUAGUCCGCACAGUAAACGAUGAAUACUUGUUUUCGGCGAUAUAAUGUCGGAGGCAAAGCGAAAGCGAUAAGUAUUCCACCUGGGGAGUACGCCGGCAACGGUGAAACUCAAAUGAAUUGGCGGGG
rnacentral:rRNA from 1 species